AUUCCUAGGGGAGUCUUUGAGACUGAGAUACUAUACUAAUAAUAUAGUAACCCUUAGAACCUGAUCCGGGUUAUACCGGCGGAGGGAAGGAAUGUAA
rnacentral:ncRNA from 1 species